rnacentral:rRNA from 1 species
GAUGAACGCUGGCGGCGUGCUUAACACAUGCAAGUCGAGCGGAGAUGUUUAAAGGAAGUUUUCGGAUGGAAUUCAAAUAUCUUAGCGGCGGACGGGUGAGUAACGCGUGGGUAACCUGCCUCAUACAGGGGGAUAACAGUUAGAAAUGACUGCUAAUACCGCAUAAGCGCACAGUGCUGCAUAGCACAGUGUGAAAAACUCCGGUGGUAUGAGAUGGACCCGCGUCUGAUUAGGUAGUUGGUAGGGUAACGGCCUACCAAGCCGACGAUCAGUAGCCGACCUGAGAGGGUGACCGGCCACAUUGGGACUGAGACACGGCCCAAACUCCUACGGGAGGCUG